GAUGAACGCUGGCGGCGUGCUUAACACAUGCUAAUCGACCGAUGAUCUCCAGCUUGCUGGGGGGAUUAGUGGCGAACGGGUGAGUAACACGUGAGUAACCUGCCCUUGACUCUGGGAUAAGCCUGGGAAACUGGGUCUAAUACCGGAUACGACCGCUCCACGCAUGUGGUGGUGGUGGAAAGCUUUUGCGGUUUUGGAUGGACUCGCGGCCUAUCAGCUUGUUGGUGGGGUAAUGGCCUACCAAGGCGACGACGGGUAGCCGGCCUGAGAGGGUGACCGGCCACACUGGGACUGAGACACGGCCCAGACUCCUACGGGAGGCAGCAGUGGGGAAUAUUGCACAAUGGGCGGAAGCCUGAUGCAGCGACGCCGCGUGAGGGAUGACGGCCUUCGGGUUGUAAACCUCUUUCAGUAGGGAAGAAGCGUAAGUGACGGUACCUGCAGGAGAAGCGCCGGCUAACUACGUGC
rnacentral:rRNA from 1 species